rnacentral:rRNA from 1 species
AUUGAACGCUGGCGGCAGGCCUAACACAUGCAAGUCGAACGAGUGGCGGACGGGUGAGUAAUGUCUGGGAAACUGCCUGAUGGAGGGGGAUAACUACUGGAAACGGUAGCUAAUACCGCAUACCAUCAGAUGUGCCCAGAUGGGAUUAGCUUGUUGGUGGGGUAACGGCUCACCAAGGCGACGAUCCCUAGCUGGUCUGAGAGGAUGACCAGCCACACUUGAAAUGAGACACGGGCCAGACUCCUAAGGGAGGGAGGCGGGGGGAAUUUUGCACAAAGGGGGGAAGCCCGAUGCAGCCAUGCCGGGUUGAUGAAGGAGGCCGUCGGGGUGGAAAGGUAUUUCAGGGGGGAGGCGUUACCCGCAGAAGAAGCACCGGCUAACUCCGUGCCAGCAGCCGCGGUAAUUC